rnacentral:rRNA from 1 species
AUUGAACGCUGGCGGUAUGCUUAACACAUGCAAGUCGAACGAUGAGAAAGAGCUUGCUCUUUCGAUUAGUGGCGGACGGGUGCGUAACGCGUAGGAAUCUACCUAUUAGUGGGGGACAACUUAGGGAAACUUAAGCUAAUACCGCAUACGCACUACGGGGGAAAGAAGGGGAUCGCAAGACCUUUUGCUAAUAGAUGAGCCUGCGUAGGGUUAGCUAGUUGGUGGGGUAAAAGCUCACCAAGGCGACGAUCCUUAACUGGUUUGAGAGAAUGAUCAGUCACACUGGAACUGAGACACGGUCCAGACUCCUACGGGAGGCAGCAGUGGGGAAUAUUGGACAAUGGGCGAAAGCCUGAUCCAGCAAUACCGCGUGUGUGAAGAAGGCCUUAGGGUUGUAAAGCACUUUCAAUUGGAAGGAAAACCUCGAAGCUAAUACCUUCGAGUUUGACAUUACCUUUAGAAGAAGCACCGGCUAACUCCGUGCCAGCAGCCGCCGUAA